UGCAGUUCUAUUGUCUGCACUGUAUAAUGCAUGCUAAUGUAAGGUUAGCAUAGCUGAUCUAAUGUGUUUUGUGUUUUAUAUGUGUGUUAUAGUGGUGAAGGAUGAAAAACCAGCAGAAGAGCCCAAAACUAAAGAAGAAGAAGAGAAGAAGCAAGAACAGAAGAUGGAAGAGAAGAUGGGAGGGUUAGAUAAUGCUGCUGCGGACAGCGGAAAGGAGACGACUCCGGAUGAUCCUGCUGAAACACCGGCAGGGCCGGGGGAAGACCAACCAAAGGGCACAGAGAACAAUGAAAAUGACAGCCAAGGAGAUGCAGUGGCCAUGGACAUGGAAGGUGAAGAUGGGGACCAAAGUGCAACUGCACCGGACAAUAAAAAUGAAGAGUGCAAACCUACAGAUGGUCCAGAGGAUAAACCUGAGCUGAAGAAGGACUAAGAUGACAAUCAGCCUCGUAGGAACCGCACCGGCAAACUGUGUGAAGGCGAAGAUCACACCACUCGAGUUUCCCACACAGCGGAGUCUACCCGAAACCACAGAGAGGAAGAUUCCCAUCUGUCCCCCGUCCCUCCUUCCUUACUCUUCUCUUUUAUUUCAAUUCCUGCUUUUGCUUUUCUUUACUUUUGGAUCGGGCUGAUGUUUAAGCAAACAUACUAUAUAUAUAAACAGAGAAUUCAGACACAUAUGUCUACAUAUCAUAGAGAGUUUAAUGGGUUUAUUGGGUUUAAUGGUGUUAAUGGAGUGAAUGGAGUUCAGGACGGAGGCAAUAUGUGUUACCUCACUGAAUCGCUGCUCUCAGUCAUUUCCGAUCUUCUGGGCAUUCUGGUGCUGGAUUUAUUUAAGGUUAUAAGGGCCCUUAAUUAAUAUACUACAUAAUAUAACAGUGUGUUCCUCAAUGAUUGACGCUUUGGGUAUGAGUAUAGAACAUAGCAGCUGCAUUUUGGUGAUGAUAAAAUACGAUAUUUUGAUUUUGGAUGAUUUUAUUUGUGUUUUUUAGGCAAAUAACACUAGUGGGACACACGUCAGGAGCAUCUUCAUAUUUACAUCUGAGUAAUUUUGUGUGUGUGUGUGUGUGGGGGGGGGGGUUGUGUGUGAGGAUAACAAAUGUGAAUGAGAACUAAUGAUAAAAGAAAAGCAACUUUAAGAACUUUAUGGAGUGAUUACAGUGAUAAAAAGCGCACUUUAGUUCAGUCGUUGGCUUUAUUUACACCUGGUGUUACAGUUGUGCAUGUGUUUCUUGUUGUUAGCUGAAUGCGUACGUAAAGUUGGAGUUUUUAAACCAGGUGAAAAUUUGGCCUAAAUGCUAAACGUUUUUAUUUGCGAGAGAGACGCCAAACCAAGUGAAUCAGAGUGAAUCAGCUGAGUGUGAUUAAAGCUCUUAUGAUGAACUGUUUUAGUCAAAAACUCCAGAUUUUAGUCUAAAAAUCUCCAGUGACCCGGUCCUAACUCAGUUUCAACCAGUAAAACUCUUAUUUCACACAUUAGCUAUUAUUGACUAGUCACAUGACCAGGACAACACAUCCCUAAUGUAUUUCUGAUGUAUUUCUUUUUUUUUCUUUUUUUUACCAUUAAUUAACAUGAAAUUUCAUUUUGCACACUCUUCACAAUAUAUAACUUUUUUUAUUAGUAAAAACUUCAGUUACAUAUAUACAUAAUAGCUUUAAUUACUUUAUUGCUUAUAAACAUAUCUCUACUCUAAUUCUCACAAGUAAAAACAUCAAUAAAUACAUUAUUACACAAUAAAAUAAAACA
ensembl:lncRNA